rnacentral:rRNA from 1 species
AUUGAACGCUGGCGGCAUGCCUUACACAUGCAAGUCGAACGGCAGCAUGAUCUAGCUUGCUAGAUUGAUGGCGAGUGGCGAACGGGUGAGUAAUACAUCGGAACGUGCCCUGUAGUGGGGGAUAACUAGUCGAAAGAUUAGCUAAUACCGCAUACGACCUGAGGGUGAAAGUGGGGGACCGCAAGGCCUCAUGCUAUAGGAGCGGCCGAUGUCUGAUUAGCUAGUUGGUGGGGUAAAGGCCCACCAAGGCGACGAUCAGUAGCUGGUCUGAGAGGACGAUCAGCCACACUGGGACUGAGACACGGCCCAGACUCCUACGGGAGGCAGCAGUGGGGAAUUUUGGACAAUGGGGGCAACCCUGAUCCAGCAAUGCCGCGUGUGUGAAGGAGGCCUUCGGGUUGUAAAGCACUUUUGUCCGGAAAGAAAUCGCACUUACUAAUAUUAGGUGUGGAUGACGGUACCGGAAGAAUAAGGACCGGCUAACUACGUGCCAGCCGCCGUGGUAA